rnacentral:rRNA from 1 species
UACGUAGGGUGCAAGCGUUGUCCGGAAUUAUUGGGCGUAAAGAGCUCGUAGGCGGCUUGUCGCGUCGUCCGUGAAAACCUGCAGCUCAACUGCAGGCUUGCGGUCGAUACGGGCAGGCUAGAGUUCGGUAGGGGAGACUGGAAUUCCUGGUGUAGCGGUGAAAUGCGCAGAUAUCAGGAGGAACACCGGUGGCGAAGGCGGCAUCCUGGACCAAUACUGACACUGAGGAGCGAAAGCCAGGGGAGCAAACGGG